GGGAAGUUCGAUACAGUUUUACGAACCGAUUCUUUCCAAUCGUCCGUUCCAGUGAAUUGGAUUUUUCAGAUGAAUCAACGACUCAGAUGAAUCAACGAAGUCAAAGGGUUGCACUGAAUGCUGCACUGCGAUGACCAGCAAGGUUAACUCAGAAUCAGGAUAUAAAGAGCCGUAAUCGCCUGAAAAUAUUCCUCAUUUCACUGGGCUGUAGAAGGUUUCGAGUGCUGAUACUGAUCCCUGUGCAUUCUAAAACUCGUGCUACGGCGUACCUUCCCAGCAAACAUAGGGCACCACCAGCCGCAAUGUGUAACGUGAGUAGCCGUGCUGUACUGCAUGAUAUUAAGAACUCACUGUUUAUUUUUUUCAAAAACUGUUGAGACAAUUAUAAAUUGCAAAUGCAAAACUUUGAAUUGUUUUAUCCAGAGAAAAUUCCAUCUCAGAAGAACAACUGUGUGACACUGUCACACUGUCUUCUCAAAAAAUGGCUUGUAUCACUACAUUUUGUAGCUAAUCAGCUUAUUGAAGCUAACCUAGCUGGAGGCAG